AGAUGUGAGGACGAUCUGGCUGUGACAUCUAUCACCUUAUUGAUUGUCAGGGUUGAUUCUGCUGAUCUGACUGGCUAGGCGGGUGUCCCCUCCCUCCCUUAUCAAUCCAUGUGCUUCCCUUCAGAAGCUGCUGCACACUGGGUCAAAGAGGAUGACCAACCACAAUAGAGGAGGAUCGUUCUUCCUAUCAAGAGUAUAGGAAUAGCUACACUCCUCUGCUAGAACCUCCAAACAAGCUCUCAAAAAGUUCCAUUUAUAGUUCUACAAAUAUUGAUACCCAAUCUAACUUAGAAGUCCUUUAAAUAACCUU
rnacentral:snRNA from 1 species